rnacentral:rRNA from 1 species
UGAGUUUGAUCCUGGCUCAGAUUGAACGCUGGCGGCAUGCCUUACACAUGCAAGUCGAACGGCAGCACGGGUGCUUGCACCUGGUGGCGAGUGGCGAACGGGUGAGUAAUACAUCGGAACAUGUCCUGUAGUGGGGGAUAGCCCGGCGAAAGCCGGAUUAAUACCGCAUACGAUCUACGGAUGAAAGCGGGGGACCUUCGGGCCUCGCGCUAUAGGGUUGGCCGAUGGCUGAUUAGCUAGUUGGUGGGGUAAAGGCCUACCAAGGCGACGAUCAGUAGCUGGUCUGAGAGGACGACCAGCCACACUGGGACUGAGACACGGCCCAGACUCCUACGGGAGGCAGCAGUGGGGAAUUUUGGACAAUGGGCGAAAGCCUGAUCCAGCAAUGCCGCGUGUGUGAAGAAGGCCUUCGGGUUGUAAAGCACUUUUGUCCGGAAAGAAAUCCUUGGCUCUAAUACAGUCGGGGGAUGACGGUACCGGAAGAAUAAGCACCGGCUAACUACGUGCCAGCAGCCGCGGUAAUACGUAGGGUGCGAGCGUUAAUCGGAAUUACUGGGCGUAAAGCGUGCGCAGGCGGUUUGCUAAGACCGAUGUGAAAUCUCCGGGCUCAACCUGGGAACUGCAUUGGUGACUGGCAGGCUAGAGUAUGGCAGAGGGGGGUAGAUUCCACGUGUAGCAAUGAAAUGCGUAAAGAUGUGGAGGAAUACCGAUGGCGAAGGCAGCCCCCUGGGCCAAUACUGACGUUCAUGCACGAAAGCGUGGGGAGCAAACAGGAUAGGAUACCCUGGUAGUCCACGCCCUAAACGAUGUCAACUAGUUGUUGGGGAUUCAUUCCUUUAGUAACGUAGCUAACGCGUGAAGUUGACCGCCUGGGGAGUACGGUCGCAAGAUUAAAACUCAAAGGAAUUGACGGGGACCCGCACAAGCGGUGGAUGAUGUGGAUUAAUUCGAUGCAACGCGAAAAACCUUACCUACCCUUGACAUGGUCGGAAUCCUGCUGAGAGGCGGGAGUGCUCGAAAGAGAACCGGCGCACAGGUGCUGCAUGGCUGUCGUCAGCUCGUGUCGUGAGAUGUUGGGUUAAGUCCCGCAACGAGCGCAACCCUUGUCCUUAGUUGCUACGCAAGAGCACUCUAAGGAGACUGCCGGUGACAAACCGGAGGAAGGUGGGAUGACGUCAAGUCCUCAUGGCCCUUAUGGGUAGGGCUUCACACGUCAUACAAUGGUCGGAACAGAGGGUUGCCAACCCGUGAGGGGGAGCUAAUCCCAGAAAACCGAUCGUAGUCCGGAUUGCACUCUGCAACUCGAGUGCAUGAAGCUGGAAUCGCUAGUAAUCGCGGAUCAGCAUGCCGCGGUGAAUACGUUCCCGGGUCUUGUACACACCGCCCGUCACACCAUGGGAGUGGGUUUUACCAGAAGUGGCUAGUCUAACCGCAAGGAGGACGGUCACCACGGUAGGAUUCAUGACUGGGGUGAAGUCGUAACAAGGUA